CACGUAGGGCGCAAGCGUUGUCCGGAAUUAUUGGGCGUAAAGAGCUCGUAGGCGGUCUGUUGCGUCCGCUGUGAAAACUCGGGGCUUAACCCCGAGCCUGCAGUGGAUACGGGCAGACUAGAGGUAGGUAGGGGAGAACGGAAUUCCUGGUGUAGCGGUGAAAUGCGCAGAUAUCAGGAGGAACACCGGUGGCGAAGGCGGUUCUCUGGGCCUGUUCUGACGCUGAGGAGCGAAAGCGUGGGGAGCGAACAGG
rnacentral:rRNA from 1 species